rnacentral:rRNA from 1 species
CCGAUAGUAGUUUGAAAGUCGAACGGUAACGGGCCUUCGGGUGCCGACGAGUGGCGAACGGGUGAGUAAUGCAUCGGAACGUACCUUUCAGUGGGGGAUAACGUAGCGAAAGUUACGCUAAUACCGCAUAUUCUGUGAGCAGGAAAGCAGGGGAUCGCAAGACCUUGCGCUGAUUGAGCGGCCGAUGUCAGAUUAGCUAGUUGGUGAGGUAAAGGCUCACCAAGGCGACGAUCUGUAGCGGGUCUGAGAGGAUGAUCCGCCACACUGGAACUGAGACACGGUCCAGACUCCUACGGGAGGCAGCAGUGGGGAAUUUUGGACAAUGGGGGCAACCCUGAUCCAGCCAGGCCGCGUGAGUGAAGAAGGCCUUCGGGUUGUAAAGCUCUUUCGGCCGGGAAGAAAUCGCAUGGGUUAAUACCCUGUGCGGAUGACGGUACCGGCAUAAGAAGCACCGGCUAACUACGUGCCAGCAGCCGCGGUAAUACGUAGGGUGCGAGCGUUAAUCGGAAUUACUGGGCGUAAAGCGUGCGCAGGCGGUUUUGUAAGACAGGCGUGAAAUCCCCGGGCUCAACCUGGGAACUGCGCUUGUGACUGCAAGGCUAGAGUACGGCAGAGGGGGGUGGAAUUCCACGUGUAGCAGUGAAAUGCGUAGAGAUGUGGAGGAACACCAAUGGCGAAGGCAGCCCCCUGGGUCGAUACUGACGCUCAUGCACGAAAGCGUGGGUAGCAAACAGGAUUAGAUACCCUGGUAGUCCACGCCCUAAACGAUGUCAACUAGGGUGUUGGGUGGGUAAAACCAUUUAGUACCGUAGCUAACGCGUGAAGUUGACCGCCUGGGGAGUACGGCCGCAAGGUUAAAACUCAAAGGAAUUGACGGGGACCCGCAC